rnacentral:lncRNA from 1 species
ACAGAAUAAAAAACAUAACUGUGUCUCUGAAAUUUUCCGUCGUCCCUUGUUCGGUGCCGUCAGCGAUCUCCACCUGCCACUUUCACCGCCGGAGCUGUCCCUUUCUCUCGAUUUCACAUUCCUUUUCUAAGGUAGCUGUUAAUUUCGAUUUUUCUUCUGAUUAUUGCUUCUUACUUCAAAUUUGAUGGGUUUGGUUAGGGACUGCAUAGAUACAUGGGUUGAACUGUUGAAGGGAGUGCGAAGGAUAGUAAAUAUAAGGGGGCGUUUGGUAGAAGGGAACUUUAAACAUUUCCGGGUAAGUAAGGUUGGGAAUGUAACAUUCCCAUGUUUGGUACAGGUUUCAGAAAAAUUAUUCCCGGGUAUUAAAGAUUCCCAGGCAUGCCAUUUACAUUGUUUUUCUCCAAACUUCAUUCCCAAGUUCA